CUGCUAUUCAGCAAUAAAUACAAAAAACAUGUUUUUGAUACAUAUAUCAAUGUGGCUGAAUGUUGAAAUAAGUAUGUUGAAUAAAAAAGCCAGAUAAAAUGAUCACAUACUGUAUAAUUAGCUUUAUCACAAUUCUAGAAAAUACAUAAUAUUGACAAAGUAAUCGGUGGUUCCCUGCAUAUGUAAUUGGAGGAAGGGAUGUUUUAUAAUAGUGAUAGUGGCAGGAGGCAGACAAAUUCCUAGGCAGAUCAGGGUGGGUCCCUGGUGAAAUCCAACUUUCAAGCCAAAGCCUGAAAAGCCUGAAAACCGGGCUGCCAGUUCCAGGUAGAAUCCACAACCGGAAGUGAGAACUUCCUGAUGCCUUUCAGCCAAUCAAAUGGUUCUUCUUUCAGAGCCCACCCAUGGACCAAUCAGCAUGCACGUCCUUCAUUCUGAGCAUAUAAAAACCCCUGGACUCGGCCACAGCUGUCGACUACCAGGCUGCGUUAGGAGCUACCGUCUUCAGCUUUUUCUCGCUGCUGAGAGCUGUUUUGUUACUCAGUAAAACUCUUCUCCACCGUGCUCACCCUUCAGUUGACCGUGCAACUUCAUUCUUCCUGGACAUAAACCCGGGACCCACAGAACAGCGGGUGCAAAAAGGGCUGUAACGCUUUCCUGGCCGGAUCGCCAAGCUGCAGGUAAGAUGUGCCUGCUUCACCUACUGGCGUGAAUGUAAACUUUCUGAGACCUUCCCAGCCAUGUGGAACUGUCACAUUUCAUUUCAUUUUUAGUGACUCUGCAAUGACCAUGGACAUUAUUUUUUAAUUGUUAAGGAACAGAGAGUAAGGCUGUGCCCUAAGAGACUGGUCAAAAUGGCCAGGUAAUAGGAGAAACCAUCAAGCUAAUUAACACAAGAGCACAGAG
rnacentral:lncRNA from 10 species